rnacentral:rRNA from 1 species
GUACACUCCUACGGGAGGCAGCAGUGGGGAAUAUUGGACAAUGGGCGCAAGCCUGAUCCAGCCAUGCCGCGUGAGUGAUGAAGGCCCUAGGGUUGUAAAGCUCUUUCACCGGUGAAGAUAAUGACGGUAACCGGAGAAGAAGCCCCGGCUAACUUCGUGCCAGCAGCCGCGGUAAUACGAAGGGGGCUAGCGUUGUUCGGAUUUACUGGGCGUAAAGCGCACGUAGGCGGACUAUUAAGUCAGGGGUGAAAUCCCGGGGCUCAACCCCGGAACUGCCUUUGAUACUGGUAGUCUUGAGUUCGAGAGAGGUGAGUGGAAUUCCGAGUGUAGAGGUGAAAUUCGUAGAUAUUCGGAGGAACACCAGUGGCGAAGGCGGCUCACUGGCUCGAUACUGACGCUGAGGUGCGAAAGCGUGGGGAGCAAACAGGAUUAGAUACCCGGGUAGUCCC